CCUACGGGUGGCAGCAGUGGGGAAUAUUGGACAAUGGGCGCAAGCCUGAUCCAGCAAUGCCGCGUGGGUGAAGAAGGUCUUCGGAUCGUAAAGCCCUUUCGACAGGGACGAUGAUGACGGUACCUGUAGAAGAAGCCCCGGCUAACUUCGUGCCAGCAGCCGCGGUAAUACGAAGGGGGCUAGCGUUGCUCGGAAUUACUGGGCGUAAAGGGCGCGUAGGCGGCUUAGUCAGUCAGGCGUGAAAUUCCUGGGCUUAACCUGGGGGCUGCGUUUGAGACGGCUGAGCUAGAGGGUAGGAGAGGGUCGUGGAAUUCCCAGUGUAGAGGUGAAAUUCGUAGAUAUUGGGAAGAACACCGGUGGCGAAGGCGGCGACCUGGCCUAUUACUGACGCUGAGGCGCGACAGCGUGGGGAGCAAACAGGAUUA
rnacentral:rRNA from 1 species